GACGAACGCUGGCGGCGUACUUAACACAUGCAAGUCGAACGGAAAGGCCUUUUCGGAGGUACUCGAGUGGCGAACGGGUGAGUAACACGUGGGUGAUCUGCCCUGCACUCUGGGAUAAGCCUGGGAAACUGGGUCUAAUACCGGAUAGGACCGCACUUUAGUGUGUGUGGUGGAAAGUUUUUUCGGUGUAGGAUGAGCCCGCGGCCUAUCAGCUUGUUGGUGGGGUAAUGGCCUACCAAGGCGGCGACGGGUAGCCGGACUGAGAGGUUGGUCGGCCACAUUGGGACUGAGAUACGGCCCAGACUCCUACGGGAGGCAGCAGUGGGGAAUAUUGCACAAUGGGCGCAAGCCUGAUGCAGCGACGCCGCGUGGGGGAUGACGGCCUUCGGGUUGUAAACUCCUUUCGCCAGGGACGAAGCGUUUUGUGACGGUACCUGGAGAAGAAGCACCGGCUAACUACGUG
rnacentral:rRNA from 1 species